AGCAGCCGCGGUAAUUCCAGCUCCAAUAGCGUAUAUUAAAGUUGUUGCAGUUAAAAAGCUCGUAGUUGAAUUUCGGGAUUAAUUUACUGGUCGUGCUAUUGUACGUACUGGUUUUAUUGAUUCCUCCCUUCUGACGAACUAUGAUGUCAUUAAUUUGGUGUCAUAGGGAAUCAGGACUGUUACUUUGAAAAAAUUAGAGUGUUUAAAGCAGGCUCACGCUUGAAUACAUUAGCAUGGAAUAACGGAAUAGGACGUUUGAUUCUAUUUUGUUGGUUUCUAGGAUCGACGUAAUGAUUAAUAGGGAUAGUUGGGGGCAUUAGUAUUCAAUUGUCAGAGGUGAAAUUCUUGGAUUUAUUGAAGACUAACUACUGCGAAAGCAUUUGCCAAGGAUGUUUUCAUUAAUCAAGAACGAAAGUUAGGGGAGUCGAAGACGAUCAGAUACCGUCGUAGC
rnacentral:sRNA from 1 species